AAGUGGAUAGCUAUUGAAUAGCUAUUUUAUCUACUAUAGAAAAUAAUAUAUAAUAUACAAUAUAUGAGUCCGGCUAUGGUGCUUGUAAAAGCACCAAGCAUUUAGUGCUUGUAAAUUUUUUUACCGUUAGAUCUACACCUUUGAUUAUUUUUACCAGUUAGAUUAUACCAUUCAACCAACCACCCACUCAACCCUAGAGGCCCACAUUAUUCUAACCACACAUCUCUUAAUUCAAUGGCAAAAAAUCUAUAAGNNNNNNNNNNNNNNNNUAUAUAUAUAUAUAUAUAUAUAUAUAUAUAUAAUUGAGCUUCUAUGCUUUUAAAAGUACCAAGUCAUUAGUGCUUGUAAGUUUUCGGCCCUUAGAUUAAAGGAUGUGCGGUUAGGAUGAUAUGAGCCCCCUAGGGUUGAGUAGGUGGUUGGUUGAAUAGUAUAAUCUAACGGAUAAAAAUGAUCAAAGGCGUAGAUCUAACGGUAAAAAAUUUACAAGCACCAAGUGCUUGGUAUUUUUACAAGUAUGAGUCCGGCUACUAUACUUUUAUGAGUAUUGACUCUCUUAUUCUUAUAAGUUUUCGGCCCUUAGAUUUAUUCCACUGAUCAUUUCCAUCCGUUAGAUCAUACUAUUCAACCAACUAUCCACUCAACCUUAGAGGACCACUAUCAUUUUAAGUGGAGAUCAUCAUCAUCCUAACCACACAUCCCAUCAAUCAACGGUUAAAAAUUUAUAAGUAUAAGAGAGAUUAUACUCAUAAGAGUAUAGUAGCCCAGCAUAUAUAUAUAUAUAUAUAUAUAUAUAUAUAUAUGACUAAUUAACAU
rnacentral:lncRNA from 1 species